AGGAAGACUACAGUCCAACCAGAGGCAAGGCACUCCUAGACUUGGUUCUAGCCAAAGGAGACAAUCUAGUGAGCAACCUGAGGAUCGAAGAGAAACUGGGACACAGUGGCCAUGAAACAAU